GAUUCGUUCUGUGACGAUCGUCGACCACCUCGGUGGUCUCGAGAAAACACCGCAAGCUACGAAACUAUCCGAGAAGAAUUUACGCCUUGCGAGUAUCGAAAGAGAAGACGCAUAAUGGAACACGACCGAACCAAUUCGAGAGAAGAGACUUGGAGUCGCCUGUCUCCUCGAACCUCUCUACUCUUCUGUCUCUGCUACCAAGAUUCGUCACAGCCGGUGACAAACAGCCGAGGCCUUCGGUUGCUCGAUAAUCGUGCUCGAGGCUAACAGAUGUUCGAAAAGAUCUUGCUAAAUAAACGAGCGUCGCGGUUGAAAUUACCGCGAGGCGAUCAUCGCGGGAGCAUUUAAAAUCGCAAAGAAUUCCAGACAACGUCGGAUAUCGAGAAGUUGCUGCGAUAACACCCGAAGAUGAUACAGAAGACGUUGCUCCGAACUGGAAGAUCACUCACGAAAGUCAACAUUCGCCAUGAAGUUUCGUUCCCUCUCGAAAUCUCGAGAAGUCGACAAGUGAAAACCAAGGGGACGAAGGAAGAGAAAUGAAAGUAAGAUUGUUGCAGGAUCUCGUUUGAACUCAGUCUCGCGUCCAGCCACGUGGUGCUCCGAAUCGCGCGAACGAUCCACGCUUGAUAAUCCUCGGCACGUAUACGUUCACUUAGCGAAACCGCGGCCCGAAAAUGGUGAAAACGGCGGAGGAAUCGACGAGCACGAGGCGAACCGAGGCCGUCGCAGUUAGCACGACGAUCGGCGAAGCCGUUUGAAAGUAGAAUUUCUUUCGUCGGCUGGUACAUGUGGUGCUGUUACGAUCGUUACGUAACGAGCGUCGAACAACGAAAAACCGUUCACGGCUCGGCGAAUCGAACGUUGAGAUUCUUGCACCGAGAAUCUCGUUAGUACACGGACUAGUGCCGGAUAGUGUAAAUCUGUCGGAGAAGAUCUUUCGUUCACGACGAGAGAGAAGACGAUACGAAGAUGUGUGAUUGUAAAUUUUUGAAUAGAGGUAAAAAAAAUAAAAUAAAAUAAAAUAAAACGGAAAGUAAAUGAUCGAGAAAAAGUGGGAGAUGAGUAGCGGCGCACGAUCGUUCGAAUACGUCGAUAACGUCGAGUAGUUGAAGAGUACCGAAGAGAAACGUUAACGCUUUACGGACGUGUUAGCAGCCGACGGCACUUUUUGCCAACAGAUCGUCACGAGUCACCGAUGUACAAGUGAGGUGUGUCGGAAGUGUGCUUUUUGCUUAGUGGCGGUAUUCGGUAAGGAUCCUCUUCCGUCGAAACGGCGGGGAAAUCGGUCGGAAGUGUUCGAAUUCGAUCGCAGUGCACGAUGAUGAUGAAACCGGUAAUGAAAUAUUUUUUUUUUUUUAAAUGUCUCUAGCCGUACGGCGAAGUGGUAGGCGACGAACGCUUUCUUUGAACUUAAAAAUUUCGUUCAAUCGAAAUCGUUCGUUCGAUUAAACCGCACGUGUUUAAAAUUAAUUUAAUUGCAGCACGUGCCCAAUGCAAUAUUUCAUAUGAUAUUUACAUGCAAAUAAUUGAUGUAUGACAAAAUUCUACGGUCCGAUCGACGAGUUUCAAAGGUGUGCCCUCUAACGGUAUUACGUGAAGCUCGAAAAGAAAAGGAAAAAAAAAAGAAGAAAAUACCUGAUAUCUAAAAUGCGGCGAGCGAUCCACGGUUAAAAAGUUUCUCCAUAAAUUCGUCACUGUCAGAGAAAUGAUAUAUACACGCGCUCUGAAGUCUCGUCGAAUUAUCUCGUUCCACUUAUCAGAGACAAACCUCGGCCCUGCUCCCCUUUGAACAAAUUACCGAAAAAAAAAAAAAAGAAAAAGAAAAGAAAAACAGGACGCGCAGACAAACCGACUGUUUCCAAGAAGGAAAAAAAAAAAAAAAAAAAAAAANAAGAAGGAAAAAAAAAAAAAAAAAGAAAAGAUCUCCACUUAUCUCAAUUUACGUUGCAUCAACAAAAAUCAUUGCUCCAGCUCGACACACAGGCAAUAAAAGUAUCUACACUUCCGGUCCAACUACCCCCUAGACACUGUUCCCAUCGUCGCACGGGAGGUCCCUAAUGACCGACUCGAUUUUACUCUUCGAACUUUCAACGUGUAAGCGAAGAACCGCAAACGUGAAAAGCUACUCUUCUCAUCGAGAUAUGUCGGAACGUUUCGCGUGUUCCUUUGUCUUUUUCGUUUCUCAAGUGGUGUUUUAUCAGACGAUGCCUUUCAUUAUUACAUUUUUAUUUGAAUUAAGAGAGAGAAAGAGAGCGAGAAAAUAUCAAUGACGUUUCGGUUCAAUGGAAUUACUGAGGCAUUGAAGUUCCACGGCGGCAGAUCAAUCUCGAAGAUCUCAAUUAUCGCGGAGAGCGAGAGCGAAUCGAUGCGUUAAUUUCUAUCAGAGAUAACGAUCGGAGCGGGGCAAGUGAAGAGUUAACGAGUCAAUUACGUCCACGGAAAAAUACGAAUUUACAUAACCCGACCUAUGCGGCUCUUCGUAAGGCGCAUAUUUCUUCUCACGAUCCUCCCCCCCCCCCCCCCCGUAAACUUUUCAUCUCGAGUAGCCAUCGGUGCCACUUACAAGAAUAUCCUACAAGCUCACUGUUAAAACGAACACAUACACAAGAAGAAGAAGAAGAAGAAGAAGACAGUAAAAAACGCAGGGAAGAGAAAAGAAAAAAAGGAAGAGAGAAACGAAAAAAAGGGAAGAUGUUUUCGCGCUUCGUGGGGUGGUUGGGUGGGGCUGGUUGCGUCAUCGAGAGAAGCGAGGCGCCGAAGAAUCCAACGAAGACGAUACGGCUCUGCCAUCCGCCGGCCAGAUAGGGUAUAAUCAUGGCGAGUUUCGUAUCUCGAAAGGGGCACACGGUAAGAUGGUCCAACAUCUGCCGCUGCAGGGAAUCUCUGCCCACAUGCUGGCCCCGUCGUGCACGUACGUACGCACGCACACGCGCAAAAAGUGACAUAGCUACACGCCGGGACGUCAUGUAAAUUCAUUCGAAACACAUGGCAGGGACGAGGCGGCGUUCUUCUCGUGCGCGCAAAAGGGUUCCUCCGCGAGGUGGAAUCCGAGGAGCGCCGCACGGGGGGGCGCUGCGGGUAAAAAAGGCAGACGAUAACUUCGACUUUUAGACAAGGACCUCUCUCUCUCUCUCUCUCUCUCUCUUCUUCUCUUUGGGCUCUUCACCUCUGUCUCUGUUACGCGAGGGACCACCGGUUCAAAUGAGUCCACCGGUUGGUCGCCUCUUUUUUAUUUCGUCGCCCCGAUGAUCGAAAACCCAUUUCAGUUUAGUGGAGAUUCCGAGGGUAGAAGAUUUCUUUUUGCCAUUUUUCUGAUUCACUUUGGAGAAUGGUAGUUGUAUGGAUUUUGUAUGAAUUGAGAGGGACGGCAGUCCUAGUUGUUGGGGGUAAUACUACUGGGCAAUAGAGUAGAAAACUAUCGUGUAUCUUGUAGGAAGCACUCUGAAAAUUCAACAGUAGCUCGCGAUGCUUGAUAAUGUAUUGCAAAGUAUCCAAUGUAUAAUUAUAAAUAAAUAUAUAUUGGCAGUACUUAGAAAGCAAAUGCUUCGCGUCGCUGAAAUUUCCGACAACUAAACGAGAAGGUCGGUCCAGAUAAUUUUAAUGAAAUUAAAUUAAUCACAGCUAAAUUGCAUCGCGGCUGGUAAAUAUUAAACUAUCUUUUCCAACGCACACGUAUGUACGUACAAACGAACUAGCUUGGCAUCAGAAUAAAAAUUCUGUUUGAAGAUACAGUGAAAAUCACGACGAGGUUUAAGAUCGUUAAACAUUUAUUGGCCUAAUCAGUUGAUUUUUUUUUUUAAUUCGAGUCUUCGAUCUGAUCGUUCCUCGUCGCCGAAAGAACGAGGGAAGAAGGACGAAACAGAAAAGAGACCUAAUAAAGACCUAAAAAUAAAAUCACCGGCGUAAAAUGGAGGAAAGAAAAGGGGAGGGAGGGGGGGGGGGAGGCAAGUGUAAACCCGCGGCGGGGAAUAAAAAUACAACUCGGCUCGAAAUAACAGGGCGUUCGGGUAACGAGUGUUCCCUCGUCUAACGAGGGUUCCGUAGAAAUCGUUAACGGGGUAAUUCUCGCGUUCCGCGGCUAAUUACACGCCGAAACCAUGGAAAUAUACCGCCGCUCUUGAUUCAUUAUGCUGACACGAACGCGAUAAUGGAUCGCCUUUUGUUUUCGAUUCGUCAAGUUCAAAAUCGGGAGGGGGGAUCUCGAUCCGGCUGCCAGAUAGACUCGUUGAAACGAUAACUGCUGCGGCGGAAAACCGCAGGCGAAAAGAAAAAGAGAGGAUCAUCAUCACGUUAGGUGAAAGCGAGAAGAUGAGAAAAAAAGAAAAAGGUACAUGAACAGAGAAAGAGAGGUAAAGGGGGAGAAGAGGAAAAAGAAAAAGAAGAGAGAGAGAGAGAGAGAGAGAGACGGAAAAAUAGGAGUAAGCUCGCCGCGCUCGGAAUUGCAGAACUGCCUUUAAUUAAAGCCAUCAAGCUAGUUGAACAAUUAUCAUUAAUUAUGGACGUUGCUUGGUCGCUCACACGAGCCGUCGUCGUCGUCAUCGUCGUCGUCGUGGCUGCCCAGAGAGAGAACCGUUUCGCUUCGUUCGCGUGCACCGCGUCAAUUUGAAAAGAGGGGGUUUGUAAGGAGGAAAAAAAAAAAAGAAGAAGAGGAAGAGGAGGAGAGAUAAAGGAUGGAAUAUACGAGAGGUAAAGAAAAAGAAGGAGAAAGAGAGAGAAACGCACAUGGUUCGGCCCCCAUGAUGUAUUUUCAUCGACGCGCUGCUUCUUCGUCGUCGCGUCUUUUUUCUCUUCCUCUUUCCUCUCCUUUACCUGUUAGUCUUAGACAACUGAUUCAAGAGAGGCCGUUCAAUUUGAGAUCACCGAUCAAGAGGAUUAUUCACCGUUAAUUAAAGGCGCGUUAAUUAAAAAAUUACAACCCCUGGUUUCAUGCUCAGAUCGCCUGUUGUCUCGCUUAUAAAUCGUUGGCCGCGCUUGCUAGCUCGCACUAGCAAGGAAAGACGCCUCGUUCGCAAGGAAGAAUAGAACACAUCCUUCUUCGAUUCUCUCGUCUCGGCUGUUGCGACGCGAUAACGCGUAAAACAGGGUCAGGUUACUCGUGAUCUCGAGGAAAAUUCUGAAUGACUCUCCGAAGGUGUUUAAAGAUCCUUUGGGAUUGAGAAAUCCACGCGUGAAACUGAACGCGCGUCGCAGUAAAAACGACGAUUUACGUUGUCACAAAAUUCUCAAUAACUCGGAUGUCUCCGAUCCACGCAUUUUGAGUGUAUAGAGUACUGUUGUAUUCCGAGUAUUUGUCUCGAGAUCGUCAUUUCACGACAUAGAAACAAAGAGUAAGAUGUAAAUUUUGUUUGUCGUUACGAGAUUCUAGUUGGACGAAGCUUCUGUUUUACAUCAUAUUCGUUGAGCUAAACCAUGUUGGAAUUUUCAUUUUUCAAAGACGACUACCUCAUUAGCUUCCCACUACGUUAAACCACUAAAGAUACGUUUGAUCUAAUCGACUGAGCAACAAUCACAGUCAUAAGGAAGUCGAAGCAACACAUGUUGGAUAAAGUUUUCUUCUUCGAUAGUAUCUCCAUGCCCUAACUCCGCUUUAAUAAAUAGACUUAGAUACUCCAUAAUGGUCGUGUAUAGUCUUUAAUGUCUACCCCGAAGCCAGGGUAAACUAUCAAUUUACUUUUCCCUUAAACGUCACCUGGGGAAUGUAAAAUGAAACACAACAACGUUUUACCUACUCUCCGACAAUCGUUAACUCUGCUUGAGAACACUUUAGCCUCGAAAAUAAGUUUUCCCUUUCCUAAACAGAGAAGCCUCUACAUUAUCGUAAUAUUAUUUCUCCCUUUUAGAUUUGAUUGUAUUAAUUGGAGAAUCGAAAGGAAAAAUGAUGCGAGCGACAAAAUUGUAGGAGAAGAAUCUGUAUGUACACUUGUAACAUCUAAUAUACAUUUUAUGUGUAUUAUUUGAUGUUAUAGAGACACUAUAGAGACAUUCCUAACACUUAGGGAUACUUUGUACGUUUUAGAAAAUUUUCUAAACACCACAGUAACAGAUCCACGUUGUAUUAUUUAUCUCCUCAGAAAAAAAAAAAUUGUCGGACUGCGCGACGAUAACGUUUCUCUAAUAACGACGGAUCAAAACUCGAGGUGUACCCUCUUUCCCUACGAACGCACCCAUCAAGAAAGGAUAACCACGGUUCUCCAAGAAAGAGAAAAAAAAGAAAAGGAAAAAAAGAAAAGAA